AAAAUAUGUUGUGUAAUGAUUGAAUUGCAAAGGUGUGAUAAGUAUUAUGUUAUACAGCUCAUAUGAUUUCAUGAUAAUGAUAAUGUUAUUGCUUUCGUAUAUUGUUUUAUGAAUUUCACCGAGGUAAGUGGAUAGUAAAGGAUUUUAUUAUUGAUAAAAGAAUUUGUUGUAAAUUAUGCUCCAUUGGUCUUUUUGUGUUUUCUACCCACUUUUACCUCCGUGACGGUGAGAUAGUGUGAUGUCUUUACUGGGCUGGUGUAGCUCAUUCCUUAUUUAAUCAUUUCAGAUCAGGAAGACAUUGUUCCCGAGCCCGUUCCGCAGGAAGACGGCGAAGGGGACGCCUGAAAACUCCGUAGUUAUAUUUAUAGCUUUUAUUUUCGAGUUUCUCUUUUAGUUAGUUUGUUCUUUUAUACUUUGAGCACGUUUU
rnacentral:lncRNA from 1 species